rnacentral:rRNA from 1 species
GAUCAAGCUACAAAGGGCGCACGGUGAAUGCCCUGGCACUAGGAGCCGAUGAAGGACGUGAUAAGCUGCGAUAAGCUUCGAGUAGGUGCAAAUAACCUGUGAUUCGAAGAUGUCCGAAUGGGAAACCCGGCAGGCUAACGCCUGUCACUAUAUGCUGAAUACAUAGGUAUAUAGAGGUAGACUCGGGGAACUGAAACAUCUAAGUACCCGAAGGAAGAGAAAGAAAAAUCGAUUUCCUGAGUAGCGGCGAGCGAAACGGAAAGAGCCCAAACCAGGAACUUGUUCCUGGGGUUGAGGAUAGAACAUAACGCUUUGAUUUUCUUAGCCAAAUAUAACUGGAAAGUUAAGCCACAGAAGGUAAUAGCCCUGUAGGCGAAAAGAAAAGAAGAGUAGUUCUACUCCAGAGUACCACGAGACACGAGAAACCUUGUGGGAAGCAGGGAGGACCAUCUCCCAAGGCUAAAUACUACCUAGUGACCGAUAGUGAAGCAGUACCGUGAGGGAAAGGUGAAAAGAACCCCGGAAGGGGAGUGAAAUAGAACCUGAAACCGUGUGCCUACAAACGGUCGGAGCACUUUAUAUGUGUGACGGCGUGCUUUUUGUAGAACGAGCCAGCGAGUUACGAUAUACAGCAAGGUUAAGCACUUAAGGUGUGGAGCCGAAGGGAAACCGAGUCUGAAUAGGGCAACUAGUUGUAUGUCGUAGACCCGAAACCGAGUGACCUAUCCAUGGCCAGGUUGAAGCGAAAGUAAAAUUUCGUGGAGGACCGAACCACGUUGGUGUUGAAAAACCAUGGGAUGAGCUGUGGAUAGCGGAGAAAUUCCAAUCGAACUCGGAGAUAGCUGGUUCUCCUCGAAAUAGCUUUAGGGCUAGCGUCGGGUAAUUAAGUAGUGGAGGUAGAGCACUGAAUGGGCUAGGGGGCAUAGCGCUUACCGAACCCUAUCAAACUCCGAAUGCCAUAUACUUGUAUCCCGGCAGUCAGGCUGCGAGUGAUAAGAUCCGUGGCAAAAAGGGAAACAGCCCAGACCAUCAGCUAAGGUCCCAAAGUGUAAGUUAAGUGGGAAAGGAUGUGGGAUUUCUAAGACAACUAGGAUGUUGGCUUAGAAGCAGCCACUCAUUUAAAGAGUGCGUAAUAGCUCACUAGUCGAGAGAUCCUGCGCCGAAGAUGUACCGGGGCUAAAACUUACCACCGAAGCUAUGGAUGUACACUACGUGUACGUGGUAGAGGAGCUUUCUACACAGGCUGAAGCCAUACCGUAAGGAGUGGUGGACAGUGUAGAAGUGAGAAUGCUGGCAUAAGUAGCGAGAAACAGGUGAGAAUCCUGUUGGCCGAAUAUCUAAGGUUUCCUGGGGAAGGCUCGUCCUCCCAGGGUUAGUCGGGACCUAAGCCGAGGCCGAAAGGCGUAGGUGAUGGACAACUGGUUGAUAUUCCAGUACCACCAAUAUGCGUUUGACAGAUGGGAUGACGCAGGAGGAUAGGAUGUGCACACUAUUGGAUGUGUGUUCAAGCACUUAGGAGGACUAGACAGGAAAAUCCGUUUAGUCAUAACUCUGAGGUGUGAUGAGGAGCCAAUUGAGGCGAAGUAUCUGAUUCCACGCUGCCAAGAAAAGUCUCUAUGGAGUAUGUUGGUGCCCGUACCGCAAACCGACACAGGUAGAUGAGGAGAGAAUCCUAAGGCCGGCGGAAGAAUUACUGCUAAGGAACUCGGCAAAUUGACCCCGUAACUUAGGGAGAAGGGGUGCCUACGAGAGUAGGCCGCAGUGAACAGGCCCAAGCAACUGUUUAUCAAAAACACAGGUCUCUGCUAAAGCGUAAGCUGAUGUAUAGGGGCUGACGCCUGCCCGGUGCUGGAAGGUUAAGGGGAAUGGUUAGUCUUCGGGCGAAGCCAAGAACUUAAGCCCCAGUAAACGGCGGCCGUAACUAUAACGGUCCUAAGGUAGCGAAAUUCCUUGUCGGGUAAGUUCCGACCCGCACGAAUGGCGUAAUGAUUUGGGCACUGUCUCGGCAGUAAAUCCGGUGAAAUUGAAGUGUGAGUGAAGAUGCUCACUACCCGCGGUUGGACGGAAAGACCCCGUAGAGCUUUACUGUAGCUUAGCAUUGAAUUUCGGUAUUGUCUGUACAGGAUAGGUGGGAGACUGAGAAUCAGGGGCGUCAGCUUCUGAGGAGUCGACCUUGGGAUACCACCCUGACAGUAUUGGAAUUCUAACUGGCGGCCAUGAAUCUGGUCACAGGACAUUGCUAGGUGGGCAGUUUGACUGGGGCGGUCGCCUCCUAAAAGGUAACGGAGGCGCCCAAAGGUUCCCUCAGCGCGGUCGGAAAUCGCGCGAAGAGUGUAAAGGCAGAAGGGAGCCUGACUGCGAGACAUACAGGUCGAGCAGGGACGAAAGUCGGGCUUAGUGAUCCGGUGGUUCUGAAUGGAAGGGCCAUCGCUCAACGGAUAAAAGCUACCUCGGGGAUAACAGGCUGAUCUCCCCAAGAGUCCACAUCGACGGGGAGGUUUGGCACCUCGAUGUCGGCUCGUCGCAUCCUGGGGCUGUAGUCGGUCCCAAGGGUUGGGCUGUUCGCCCAUUAAAGCGGCACGCGAGCUGGGUUCAGAACGUCGUGAGACAGUUCGGUCCCUAUCCGCCGUGGGCGCAGGAAAUUUGAGAGGAGCUGUCCUUAGUACGAGAGGACCGGGAUGGACCAACCUCUGGUGCACCAGUUGUCACGCCAGUGGCACAGCUGGGUAGCUAUGUUGGGAAGGGAUAAACGCUGAAAGCAUCUAAGCGUGAAGCCCACCUCAAGAUUAGAUUUCCCAUAGCGUAAGCUAGUAAGACCCCUGGAAGACUACCAGGUUGAUAGGUCAGAGGUGUAAGCGUGGUAACAUGUUAAGCUGACUGAUACUAAUAGGUCGAGGGCUUGAUCAA